UGUGGGGGGUGGAACACAAGUUUAGAAGUCACAAAAGCAGUAUUCUGGGCCCUACAUGGUGAGCUGUCACUGAGUGAUGCUGGCAUUGCAACUGCUUCUGUAAACAGAGAUGGGGUCUCACUUUGUUGCCCAGAUUGGUCUCUAACUAAGUGACUCAAGUGAUCCUCCUGCCUUGGCCUCCCAAAGUGCUGGGAUUAUAGGGGUGAGCAACCACACUGGCCUUCUAUGUCUUCAAUACAUCUGUAUCACUUGCUAAUCCUGCAAACCAUACCUAUCCUGUUUUUCUUUUCUUUCCUUUUUUUUUUUUUGAGACAGAGUCUCGCACUGUCACCCGAGCUGGAGUGCCAUGGCUCUAUCUUGGCUCACUGCAACCUCUGCUUCCUGUGUUCAAG
rnacentral:lncRNA from 1 species